rnacentral:rRNA from 1 species
AGCGAACGCUGGCGGCAGGCUUAACACAUGCAAGUCGAGCGGGCACUUUCGGGUGUCAGCGGCGGACGGGUGAGUAACGCGUGGGAACGUGCCCUCUGGUUCGGAAUAACUCAGGGAAACUUGAGCUAAUACCGGAUACGCCCUUUUGGGGAAAGGCUUGCUGCCGGAGGAUCGGCCCGCGUCUGAUUAGCUAGUUGGUGAGGUAACGGCUCACCAAGGCGACGAACAGUAGCUGGUCUGAGAGGAUGAUCAGCCACACUGGGACUGAGACACGGCCCAGACUCCUACGGGAGGCAGCAGUGGGGAAUAUUGGACAAUGGGCGCAAGCCUGAUCCAGCCAUGCCGCGUGAGUGAUCAAGGCCUUAGGGUUGUAAAGCUCUUUUAUCCGGGACGAUAAUGACGGUACCGGAGGAAUAAGCCCCGGCUAACUUCGUG